rnacentral:lncRNA from 1 species
GCCCUUAGUUCCUCUGAACCUAUCAACCAUCUAACUCUUAAUACCCCAUACGAUGAAGUAGGUAUCUGAGUGCAUCACUUUGGUAGUCUCUCCCUCAAGUGCUACACCAAACUCUCUAAAAAUAAGAGUGAGAGCUAUACCAUAUGGAAGAUAGGCCUUCAUCCUAUAGACUGCCUCCUACAUCUACUAAAUCAUCAAGGCUAGAAGGUUUAGGGGGAUGCCCUGAACCAUAUGGUAUGUGAUGACCACGUCUCUUUUUGAAACAAAGUCAAACCUUCCUAACUUCAGAAAGAGAAUCCAUCCUAUGAUAUGGUGGAGUAGCCUCCUCUCAGCAGAUAACUAAUUCACCAAGAUGUCCUCCAAAACAUUAAUGUCCUAUUUUUCCAAAAUAACUCAUAAAGCUGCCUCUCGAUCUAAAGAUCUGCUAGGUACAACUCUCUAUCUUGACAACUAAAGAAUCCUGGCU